rnacentral:lncRNA from 1 species
UUUGAUCCCUCAUUUUUAUGUUGGUACGUAGGCACAAGUCCGAAGGUCUUGUCAAACACAAAAAUAUAAUCAAUAAAUUCUUUUCUCAUCCCCACACUCUAUUUUUCUCAAACAAAACUACGAGGUUUUGAUCCCUCAUUUUUAUGUUGGUACGUAGGCACAAGUCCGAAGGUCUUGUCAAACACAAAAAUAUAAUCAAUAAAUUCUUUUCUCAUCCCCACACUCUAUUUUUCUCAAACAUCAUUUAUAUCAAAACACAUGCACACAUAAAAAAGGGCUCCCUAGGAGUACCUAGGACACUUUGGGUGCUAACACCUUUCCUCUGUGUAACCAACCCCCUUACCUGU